UACGUAGGUGGCAAGCGUUGUCCGGAUUUAUUGGGUUUAAAGGGUGCGUAGGCGGUCUUAUAAGUCAGUGCUGAAGUAUCCCGGCUUAACCGGGAGGGUGGCAUUGAUACUGCAGGACUUGAGUAUAGUCGAGGUAGGCGGAAUUGACGGUGUAGCGGUGAAAUGCUUAGAUAUCGUCAAGAACACCGAUAGUGUAGACAGCUUACUAGGCUAUAACUGACGCUGAGGCACGAAAGUGUGGGGAUCAAACAGG
rnacentral:rRNA from 1 species